AUGAGACCGCCGCCGUCUCCCCCUUUGCUCCCCUUACUCCUGCUUCUCGUUCUCCUCCCGUCGCCGCCGGCUGUGGCGGCAGCGGCAGGCCCCACCUCGUUGGAGGCGCUCCGCGCGGCGGCCGGCCGCAGGGCCGCGUCGCCGGCCACGCAAGAGAGGGCUGCCGCCGGGGUGCUCCGCCGGCUCCUCCCCUCCCACGCGCUCAGCUUCCGGUUCCAGAUCGACCCCAAGGGCGGCGUCUGUGGCGACUCGAGCUGCUUCAGGAUAAGCAAUGUUGACGGCUCGAGCAAGGGCGGUGCAGAGAUUCUGAUCCAGGGUAACACUGCUGUUGAGCUUGCAUCUGGGCUCCAUUGGUACCUCAAAUACUGGUGUGGGGUGCACAUUUCUUGGGAUAAGACUGGUGGUGCACAACUGGCGUCAGUCCCUUCGCCUGGGUCUCUGCCACGAGUGAAGGGAACGGGAGUCAAGGUUGAGCGCCCUGUUCCGUGGAAUUACUAUCAGAAUGUCGUCACUUCCAGCUACUCCUUUGUGUGGUGGGAUUGGAGAAGAUGGGAGAAAGAAAUUGACUGGAUGGCACUUCAAGGAAUUAACUUGCCUUUAGCGUUUACUGGACAGGAAGCUGUUUGGCAAAAGGUUUUUAAGAGCUUUAAUGUCACCGACAGAGAUUUAGAUGAUUUUUUUGGUGGACCAGCUUUCCUUGCCUGGGCUAGAAUGGGGAACCUGCAUGCAUGGGGUGGGCCACUUUCACAAAAUUGGUUAGAUCAACAAUUGGCACUGCAGAAGAAAAUAUUGUCUCGUAUGAUUGAGCUUGGAAUGGUCCCAGUUCUGCCAUCAUUCUCAGGAAAUGUACCAGUCGCGUUUAAAAAAUUGUUUCCAUCUGCCAGCAUAACCAGACUCGGUGAAUGGAACACAGUUGAUGGUAAUCCUAGGUGGUGCUGCACUUAUAUUCUUGAUCCUUCGGAUGCAUUGUUUAUUGAUGUGGGACAGGCUUUUAUCAAGCAACAAAUGAAAGAAUAUGGUGACAUCACCAGCAUCUAUAAUUGUGACACAUUCAAUGAGAAUACACCACCGACAAAUGAACCGGCAUAUAUUUCAUCGCUUGGUUCUGCUAUCUAUCAAGCAAUGUCGAGAGGUAACAAGGAUGCAGUGUGGUUAAUGCAGCUCCUUUGCUUUGUUCAGGGUUGGCUAUUUUACUCGGAUGCAGCUUUCUGGAAGGAGUCUCAGAUGAAAGCACUACUUCAUUCUGUUCCAAUUGGUAAGAUGAUGGUCCUUGAUUUAUUUGCUGAUGUCAAGCCCAUAUGGCAAACGUCCUCCCAGUUCUAUGGUGUACCAUACAUCUGGUGCAUGCUACACAACUUUGGUGGUAAUAUUGAAAUGUAUGGAGUACUAGAUUCAAUUUCAUCUGGCCCUAUUGAUGCACGUACAAGCUACAAUUCAACAAUGGUUGGUGUUGGCAUGUGCAUGGAGGGAAUAGAACAUAAUCCAGUUGUUUAUGAGCUUAUGUCUGAAAUGGCAUUCCGUAGUCAAAAGGUCGAAGUUGAGGAUUGGUUAAAAUCGUACUCCUAUAGGCGAUAUGGCCAAUCAAAUGUCGAAAUACAGAAAGCUUGGGCAAUCCUGUACCAUACGAUAUACAAUUGCACAGAUGGAAUUGCGGAUCAUAAUAGAGACUACAUAGUUGAAUUUCCAGACAUCAGUCCAAGUUCUUUCAGUUCCCAGUAUUCCAAACGAAGAAGUAUCUCAGUUGUGAGGAAACAUCCGAGGUUCUUAGGCGAGGUCUCUGCAAGCCUACCACAACCACAUCUAUGGUAUUCUACGGAGGAGGCCGUCAAAUCCCUUGAACUAUUUCUUAAAGCAGGAGAUGAUCUUUCAGAAAGUCUCACAUAUAGGUACGACCUUGUUGAUUUGGCAAGGCAGUCACUGUCAAAAUUAGCAAAUAAAGUGUACCUUGAUGCUAUGGGUUCUUACCAAAUGAGGGAUUCAAGUGGUUUAAACUUUCACACAAAGAAAUUCCUCGAACUCAUCAUGGAUAUCGAGACGCUACUAGCUUCUGAUGAUAACUUCCUGCUGGGCCCUUGGUUAGAAACUGCAAAAAGCCUUGCUACGGCUGAAGACGAAAGGAAGCAGUACGAGUGGAAUGCUAGAACACAGGUGACAAUGUGGUACGACGACACAAAGAUCGAGCAGAGCAAACUCCAUGACUACGCCAAUAAAUUCUGGAGUGGGCUUCUGAAGAGCUACUACCUUCCAAGGGCAUCUAAAUACUUCACUCGGUUAUCGAGAAGCCUCCAAGAGAACCGGAGCUUUCAACUGGAGGAAUGGAGGCGAGAUUGGAUCUCCUACUCUAACGAAUGGCAGUCCGGGAAGGAGCUGUACCCUGUGAAAGCCACGGGUGAUGCUUUGGCGAUCUCCAGGUCUCUCUUUGCAAAGUACUUCAGGUAA
rnacentral:rRNA from 1 species